GACGAACGCUGGCGGCGUGCCUAAUACAUGCAAGUCGAACGCAGUGGCGGACGGGUGAGUAACACGUGGGUAACUACCCAUCAGAGGGGGAUAACACUUGGAAACAGGUGCUAAUACCGGAUAGUGGGGGAUGACUCGCGUCCUAUCAGCUUGUUGGUGGGGUAGUGGCCUACCAAGGCGACGACGGGUAGCCGGCCUGAGAGGGCGACCGGCCACAUUGGGCUGAGAUACGGCCCAAACUCCUACGGGAGGCAGCAGUGGGGAAUAUUGCACAAUGGGGGAAACCCUGAUGCAGCAACGCCGCGUGCGGGAUGACGGCCUUCGGGUUGUAAACCGCUUUCAGCCAUGACGCGGUAGUGGCAGAAGAAGCACCGGCUAACUACGUGCCAGCAGCCGCGGUAAUUC
rnacentral:rRNA from 1 species